rnacentral:rRNA from 1 species
UACGAAGGGGGCUAGCGUUGCUCGGAUUGACUGGGCGUAAAGGGCGCGUAGGCGGAUAGUACAGUCAGGCGUGAAAUUCCUGGGCUCAACCUGGGGGCUGCGUUUGAUACGUAUUGUCUGGAGUUCGGAAGAGGGUCGUGGAAUUCCCAGUGUAGAGGUGAAAUUCGUAGAUAUUGGGAAGAACACCGGUGGCGAAGGCGGCGACCUGGUCCGAUACUGACGCUGAGGCGCGAAAAGCGUGGGGGAGCAAACAGG